rnacentral:lncRNA from 1 species
AUGAUUCGGCUCGCAGAGCACAGUGGGAGCGGAAGUCAACCGCGCCGGAGUCGCAGCGAGCGCGUGCGCACUGCCUUCCGGAGGCCGGGAGGCGGAAGUCCAAGCAGGUUGUCCCAAUUUUGGCCUGCAAAGACUUCCUUCUCUCGCCUCUACUAUCCAACUCCUGUGAGGGACUCAGGCAUAGUUCGGGCGGAGGCAGAAAGAGCGAGCGCGCGAAGAACUUCGGGAGAGCGCUUGUGACGCUACGAACCUCUCGAACACCUGACGACUGGGCGCCAGGGCCGGAUGGAGGGUGGAGAGCCAGUGCGGCGCAGCUGCCUCCUCUUAACGGGGACACCUUGCAGGAAUGUGCGGAGUGGAGCUAACGGGAGCGGAUAGAAACCGAGGGAGGGGAAGAGAGCGCGAAGGCUUGGCCGGAAGGAGAGGUUAAAAAGGAAAGGCCUAAAAUGAGGAAGAGAGUUACCACAACAAGCAGUACCUAGUUCCAGUUCUUGGUCCCAGGAGUUUGUGGUUGUUGCUGCUUUCAUCUUCCUCAGCCAACACAAAAGGAAAGUGCCAAGGGGCGAUUCCUAGGACCUUCAGUGCAGUCUCCACCUUGCGGACUUGGCUCAUUUGUGUCCACUCCUUUCUCCAGCCUUUUACACUUGAUGCUCUUGGAUGAAUAGAAAGGAGCACAAUUAAUGGAAAACACAAGCUUGGGAGUCAAGGGAUUUGGGUUCUAUUCUUGUCCUCCCUUGGUGACGACAUCAUUACCUUGGGUUAUUCAAGCUUUCAGUGCCAGAGUUCCUAUAUCAAUA